UACGUAGGGUGCAAGCGUUAAUCGGAAUUACUGGGCGUAAAGCGUGCGCAGGCGGUUCUAUAAGACAGAUGUGAAAUCCCCGGGCUCAACCUGGGAACUGCAUUUGUGACUGUAGAGCUGGAGUGCGGCAGAGGGGGAUGGAAUUCCGCGUGUAGCAGUGAAAUGCGUAGAUAUGCGGAGGAACACCGAUGGCGAAGGCAAUCCCCUGGGCCUGCACUGACGCUCAUGCACGAAAGCGUGGGGAGCAAAAGGG
rnacentral:rRNA from 1 species